rnacentral:lncRNA from 1 species
GAGCACUGUUUAGCUUCCGUCUGUGUUUAUAACGGUGACAUGGAAAAACUACUGCAUGAUGCCAAGCAUGAAUCUGGACGAGGUAGCUCCAAGAGUUCUCACUGCACCAGCCCAUCUCCCUCUCAGUCACUGCAAGCCAUCUGCAGAGUGGAAACAGACACCCAUGCCUUUGGAGAUAAAAGGAACACUCUAAGGACGAUUAUACUGAGAGAAGAGAGGUUGAAAGUAUCUUGAAGAAAAACUCAGAUUGGAUAUGGGGUUGGUUAAGUCAGCCAGAAAAUAUCCCCCCGCAGGUGUUUUCUUUUUAAAAAAUAAUCUGGAAGCCCACGGCUACUCUCCUCGAGACAAACAAGAGUUAUGAAGAAAGGGUGGGCAUCGUCUCAUUCCGUCUCUGUUGCAGUCUCAUCCUCUGGCCUUUGGAGGAGCGAUCCACACUGGAAAGGCAUCUUGCAGCACCUUU